rnacentral:rRNA from 1 species
UACGGAGGGUGCGAGCGUUAAUCGGAAUUACUGGGCGUAAAGCGUGCGUAGGCGGCAUGGUCAGUCGGAUGUGAAAGCCCCGGGCUCAACCUGGGAAUUGCAUUCGAUACUGCCAAGCUAGAGUAUGUUAGAGGAAAGUGGAAUUCCCGGUGUAGCGGUGAAAUGCGUAGAUAUCGGGAGGAACAUCAAUGGCGAAGGCAACUUUCUGGAGCAAUACUGACGCUGAGGCACGAAAGCGUGGGGAGCAAAC